AUGGGUAAGGAUAAGGUAAUGGAAUUGAUAGAGAAAUUCAUAGACCUAGGUAGGAUAGGAAAAUUGAUAAAGGGAAUAGAAAUGAUGAUAGAGAUCAUACUGAGAAAGAGGAUAAUUCCGUACGGGUACAACUCUUAUUUAAACGAAGUGCAAAAAAUGCGAUCUUUUUUGUCUAAUAGAACAAACACUAAUACCUUAAUUGAGUUGGUAAAGAUCAAAUCUGUUUAUCAAAGUGCUUCUCUGAUUGCUCAAGACAUCUCUUUUCAACCGAGGAACAAUCCAAUCUCAUUUCGUUCCAUUUUUAGUAAAAUAGUGAAGGAUAUUCCAUUAAUAAUGCCAAAAGGGGUGGAGGGGAUACGUAUUUGUUGUUCUGGUCGAUUAGGGGGUGCGGAAAUAGCUAGAACUGAAUGCGGAAAGUAUGGAAAAACAUCUUGUAAUGUAUUUAACCAGAAAAUCGAUUAUGCUCCUGCGGAAGUAUCUACUCGUAACGGAAUUUCAGGUGUCAAAGUGCGGAUCUCAUAUAGUCAAAAUAAGAAGGGACGUGCUAUAUCCGAAACGUAUGAAAUAUAG
rnacentral:rRNA from 1 species